rnacentral:rRNA from 1 species
CCUACGGGAGGCAGCAGUGGGGAAUAUUGGGCAAUGGGCGCAAGCCUGACCCAGCAACGCCGCGUGAAGGAAGAAGGCUUUCGGGUUGUAAACUUCUUUUCUCAGGGACGAAGAAAGUGACGGUACCUGAGGAAUAAGCCACGGCUAACUACGUGCCAGCAGCCGCGGUAAUACGUAGGUGGCAAGCGUUAUCCGGAUUUACUGGGUGUAAAGGGCGUGUAGGCGGGAAAGCAAGUCAGAUGUGAAAACCAUGGGCUCAACCUGUGGCCUGCAUUUGAAACUGUUUUUCUUGAGUACUGGGGAGGCAGACGGAAUUCCUCGUGUAGCGGUGAAAUGCGUAGAUAUGAGGAGGAACACCAGUGGCGAAGGCGGUCUGCUGGACAGCAACUGACGCUGAGGCGCGAAAGCGUGGGGAGCAAACAGGAUUAGAUACCCGGGUAGUC